ACGGAAGGCAGCAGUGGGGAAUAUUGGGCAAUGGGCGAAAGCCUGACCCAGCGACGCCGCGUGCGGGAAGAAGGUCUUCGGAUUGUAAACCGCUGUAGACGGGGACGAAAUAAAUGACGGUACCUGUAAAGUAAGCCACGGCUAACUACGUGCCAGCAGCCGCGGUAAUACGUAGGUGGCGAGCGUUAUCCGGAUUUACUGGGUGUAAAGGGUGUGUAGGCGGGGAAUCAAGUCAGAUGUGAAAUCUAUGGGCUCAACUCAUAGCUUGCAUUUGAAACUGAUUUUCUUGAGUGUGGGAGAGGUAAAUGGAAUUCCCGGUGUAGCGGUGAAAUGCGUGGAUAUCGGGAGGAACACCAGUGGCGAAGGCGGCUUACUGGACCACAACUGACGCUGAGACACGAAAGCGUGGGGAGCAAACAGGAUUAGAUACCCUGGUA
rnacentral:rRNA from 1 species